AUGGAGUUUAGAAGAUUGAGAAGGGAUCUCAAUGAAACUUACUGGACAAUGAAAGGCAUAGAUUGACUGGAUGUGGAGAGGAUGUUUCCAGUAGUGGGAGAGUCUAGAACCAGAGUGCACAGCCUCAGA